UAUUAGUCCGUAAAACUAGCAGUAGUUGAUA
rnacentral:piRNA from 1 species